UACGGGGGGGGCAAGCGUUGUUCGGAAUUACUGGGCGUAAAGGGUUCGUAGGUGGCCAACUAAGUCAGACGUGAAAUCCCUCGGCUUAACCGGAGAACUGCGUCUGAUACUGGAUGGCUUGAGUUUGGGAGAGGGAUGCGGAAUUCCAGGUGUAGCGGUGAAAUGCGUAGAUAUCUGGAGGAACACCGGUGGCGAAGGCGGCAACCUGGACCAACACUGACGCUGAGGAACGAAAGCCAGGGGAGCAAACGGG
rnacentral:rRNA from 1 species